rnacentral:rRNA from 1 species
GAUGAACGCUGACAGAAUGCUUAACACAUGCAAGUCAACUUGAAUUUGGGUUUUUAACUUAGGUUUGGGUGGCGGACGGGUGAGUAACGCGUAAAGAACUUGCCUCUCAGCUAGGGACAACAUUUGGAAACGAAUGCUAAUACCUAAUAUUAUGAUAAUAGGGCAUCCUAUAAUUAUGAAAGCUAUAAGCGCUGUGAGAGAGCUUUGCGUCCCAUUAGCUAGUUGGAGAGGUAACGGCUCACCAAGGCGAUGAUGGGUAGCCGGCCUGAGAGGGUGAUCGGCCACAAGGGGACUGAGACACGGCCCUUACUCCUACGGGAGGCAGCAGUGGGGAAUAUUGGACAAUGGACCGAGAGUCUGAUCCAGCAAUUCUGUGUGCACGAUGAAGUUUUUCGGAAUGUAAAGUGCUUUCAGUUGGGAAGAAACAAAUGACGGUACCAACAGAAGAAGUGACGGCUAAAUACGUA